rnacentral:rRNA from 1 species
CCUACGGGUGGCAGCAGUGAGGAAUAUUGGUCAAUGGACGAGAGUCUGAACCAGCCAAGUAGCGUGAAGGAUGACUGCCCUAUGGGUUGUAAACUUCUUUUAUAUGGGAAUAAAAUGUUCCACGUGUGGGAUUUUGUAUGUACCAUAUGAAUAAGGAUCGGCUAACUCCGUGCCAGCAGCCGUGGUAAUACGGAGGAUCCGAGCGUUAUCCGGAUUUAUUGGGUUUAAAGGGAGCGUAGGUGGAUUGUUAAGUCAGUUGUGAAAGUUUGCGGCUCAACCGUAAAAUUGCAGUUGAAACUGGCAGUCUUGAGGACAGUAGAGGUGGGCGGAAUUCGUGGUGUAGCGGUGAAAUGCUUAGAUAUCACGAAGAACUCCGAUUGCGAAGGCAGUUCACUGGACUGCAACUGACACUGAGGCUCGAAAGUGUGGGUAUCAAACAGGAUUAGAUACCCUGGUAGUC